GAUGAAGAACGUAGCGAAAUGCGAUAAGUAAUGUGAAUUGCAGAAUUCCGUGAAUCAUCGAAUCUUUGAACGCACAUUGCGCCCUCUGGUAUUCCGGGGGGCAUGCCUGUCCGAGCGUCAUUUGCAACCCUCAAGCCCGGCUUGUGUGAUGGGUGCCGUCCCCUACGGGACGCGCCCCGAAGGCAAUGGCGGCGUCGCGGUUAUCCGAUCAGCCAAAGUGUAUGGGGCUUUGUCACUCACUUUACGGCCCGGACCGGCGCCAGUCCGAAUCAAUCUUUUUUCUAAAGUUGACCUCGGAUCAGGUAGGGAUACCCGCUGAACUUAAGCAUAUCAAUAAGCGGAGA
rnacentral:misc_RNA from 1 species